rnacentral:rRNA from 1 species
CAGCACCUCAAGUGGUCAGGAUGAUUAUUGGGCCUAAAGCAUCCGUAGCCGGCGCUGUAAGUUUUCGGUUAAAUCUGUACGCUCAACGUACAGGCUGCCGGGAAUACUGCAGCGCUAGGGAGUGGGAGAGGUAGACGGUACUCGGUAGGAAGGGGUAAAAUCCUUUGAUCUAUUGAUGACCACCUGUGGCGAAGGCGGCCUACCAGAACACGUCCGACGGUGAGGGAUGAAAGCUGGGGGAGCAAACCGGAUUAGAUACCCGUGUAGUCC